GACGCUCAGAGGAUUCUGACAAUAUCUUUACCGGAGAAGAGGCAAAGUACGCUCAAAGCCGAAGCCACAGCUCCUCCUGCCGCAUUUCUUUCCUGCUUGCGAAUUCCAAGCUGUUAAAUAAGAUGUGCAAAGGGCUUGCAGGUCUGCCGGCUUCUUGCUUGAGGAGUGCAAAAGAUAUGAAACAUCGGCUAGGUUUCCUGCUGCAAAAAUCUGAUUCCUGUGAACACAAUUCUUCCCACAACAAGAAGGACAAAGUGGUUAUUUGCCAGAGGUAAGAGAAAAGGCCUUGGUGAAGAUCUACUGAGUAUUAACUAUCUGAUGAUGGGGAUGUUCUGUGAGAAGGAGCUUGUGCUCCUAGUUAAGCCAGAUUUGGAUCAAGAUAGCCUCCAUUUUCAUGGAGAUCAUAACUACAUUUGAAAUUUCUAUACAUUUAGUGAAAAACUGCCCUCAUCAAUAACAUAUUUUGUAAUAACGAUGGAAAAUAAAAUCUUUGCCUUUAUUCAGGAUCUUAGAUUUCUUGCCCCAAUUUUUUUACCAUGGCAUUCCAAUUAUUCUGUUUCUCUCUAUUUUUUCUAGGGUGAGCCAAGAGGAAGUCAAGAAAUGGGCUGAAUCACUGGAAAACCUGAUUAGUCAUGAAUGUGGGCUGGCAGCUUUCAAAGCUUUCUUGAAGUCUGAAUAUAGUGAGGAGAAUAUUGACUUCUGGAUCAGCUGUGAAGAGUACAAGAAAAUCAAAUCACCAUCUAAACUAAGUCCCAAGGCCAAAAAGAUCUAUAAUGAAUUCAUCUCAGUCCAAGCAACCAAAGAGGUAGGUUUUUUAUGGAUACAUAAAAAUUGUACAUAUUUACAGAGUAUGUGUGAUAUUUUGAUACAUGCAUACAAUGUGUUAACAAUCAAAUCAGGGCAAUUGCUAUAUACAGAUCUCAAACAUUUAUUAUUUCUAUGUGUUGAGAACAUUCCAAAUCUCCUCUUCUAGCUAUCUUAAAAUAUACAAUAAACUAUUGAUAACUAUAUCACCCUAAUGUGCUAUCAAACACUAGAACCUAUUCCCUCUACCCAACUUUCUAUCUAUUCCUUCUACCCAUUAGCCAACCUGACCAAAAAGGUAAGCUUUUAUGGCAGAGAACUCUCUGGAUCUUAGUGAAGGUUCCUAGAAUAGUGGAGCUGACUAUCAUAAUCUUGACAACCCCAAAUAAAUCAGUUUUUUAAAAAAUCUCUUUUAUCCAUGUGGCUUACCAUAACCUCCCUGCAUGAAUUUUUCUGAUGAAUCUCCCCAAUUUGUUAGACAGAACAGAAGAUCUUGCCCUGCUCUCUCUAAGCAGAAAGGUUCAUUCUGAACCUUUCAUACUCUCUCACAUGUGCCAAGGAGGAGCCUAAUGUCACUUUUGUUUUUUGCUUCUGAAAUACAGAGGGUGCACUGCCACUUACAAGUCACUACAAAGCAUACAGGCUUGCAUCCUCAACAGGGAUAUAGGUCUAAUGAAGCCUUGGCCUUUGCCCCUCAGGUGAACCUGGAUUCUUGCACCAGGGAAGAGACAAGCCGGAACAUGCUAGAGCCUACAAUAACCUGCUUUGAUGAGGCCCAGAAGAAGAUUUUCAACCUGAUGGAGAAGGAUUCCUACCGCCGCUUCCUCAAGUCUCGAUUCUAUCUUGAUUUGGUCAACCCUUCCAGCUGUGGGGCAGAAAAGCAGAAAGGAGCCAAGAGUUCAGCAGACUGUGCUUCCCUGGUCCCUCAGUGUGCCUAAUUCUCACCUGAAGGCAGAGGGAUGAAAUGCCAAGACUCUAUGCUCUGGAAAACCUGAGGCCAAAUAUUGAUCUGUAUUAAGCUCCAGUGCUUUAUCCACAUUGUAGCCUAAUAUUCAUGCUGCCUGCCAUGUGUGAGUCACUUCUACGCAUAAACUAGAUAUAGCUUUUGGUGUUUGAGUGUUCAUCAGGGUGGGACCCCAUUCCAGUCCAAUUUUCCUAAGUUUCUUUGAGGGUUCCAUGGGAGCAAAUAUCUAAAUAAUGGCCUGGUAGGUCUGGAUUUUCAAAGAUUGUUGGCAGUUUCCUCCUCCCAACGGUUUUACCUCGGGAUGGUUGGUUAGUGCAUGUCACAUGACAUCCACAUGCACAUGUAUUCUGUUGGCCAGCACGUUCUCCAGACUCUAGAUGUUUAGAUGAGGUUGAGCUAUGAUAUGUGCUUGUGUGUAUGUCUAUGUGUAUAUAUUAUAUAUACAUUAGACACACAUAUACAUUAUUUCUGUAUAUAGAUGUCUGUGUAUACAUAUGUAUGUGUGAGUGUAUGUAUACACACACACACACACACUUUUGCAAGAGUGAUGGGAAAGACCCUAGGUGCUCAUAACUAGAGUAUGUGUAUGUACUUACAUGGGUGUUUUGAUCUCUGUUCUUUCAUACUACAUUUGAACAGGGCAAAAUGAACUAACUGCCAUGUAGGCUAAGAAAGAAAUGCUAACCUGUGGAAAGUUGGUUUUGUAAAAUUCCAUGGAUCUUGCUGGAGAAGCAUCCAAGGAACUUCACGCUUGAUUUGACCACUGACAGCCUCCACCUUGAGCACUAUUCUAAGGAGCAAAUACCUUAGCUCCCUUGAGCUGGUUUUCACUGAUGGCACUUUUGAGCUCCUAAGCUGCCAGCCUUCCCUUCUUUUCCUGGGUGCUCAGGGCAUGCUUAUUAGCAACUGGGUUGGUAUGGAGUUGGCAGACAGGAUGUUCAACGGAAUGAAGAAAUACAGCUAAGGCCUUGCCAGCAACACCUGCCGUAAGUUACUGGCUGAGUGAGGGCACAGAAGUUAAAGGUUACUGUUUUUAUCCUCUAUCCUUUUUUCCUCUCCUGAUCAAGGUGCUCUUCUCAUUUUUCCUGAGAACCUUAGCCAUCAGAUGAGGCUCCUUAGUUUAUUGUGGUUGGUUGUUUUUUCUUUAUAAUGGCUCUGGCUAUAUGCCUAUAUUUAUAAACCAGCAGCAGGGGAAAGAUUAUAUUUUAUAAGAGGGAACAAAUUUUCACAAUUUGAAAAGCCCACAUAAGUUUUCUCUUUUAAGGUAGAAUCUUGUUAAUUUCAUUCCAAACAUCGGGGCUAACAGAGAAUGGAGGCACUUCUUUUUAGGCUCUGAGACUAAAUGAGAGGAAAAGAAAAGAAAAAAAAAAUGAUUGUCUAACCAAUUGUGAGAAUUACUGUUUGAAACUUUUCAAGGCACAUUGAAAUACUUGAAAACUUCUCAUUUAUGUUAUUUAUGAUGUUAUUUUGUACGUGUUAUUAUUAUUAUAUUGUUUUAUAAAUGGAGGUACAGGAUAUCACCUGAAUUAUUAAUGAAUGCCCAGGAAGUAAUUUUCUUCUCAUUCUUCUAAAACUACUGCCUUUCAAAGUGCACACACAUGCGUCCACAUACACUGCAUUCGUUGCUCCAGUAUAAAUUACAUGCAUGAGCACCUUUCUGGCUUUUAAGCCAAUAUAAUGGGCUGCAAAAUGAAGACACCAGAGUGUAUGCAUACAAAUCUCACUGUAUUAAAGAUAUAGGUUUUCUAAUUGUACCCUUCUUGUCUCUCCGGCAAUCUUGCCCUUAAUAUCCCUGGAGUUCCUCAUCAGUGUCAUUUUCUGUUAUACACAGUUCCACAAUUUUGUCUCUAGUUGACUUCAAAUGUGUAACUUUAUUGGUCUUGCCCUAUUAUAAUUGUCAUGACUUUCAGAUUGUAUCUGAACUCACAGACUGCUGUCUUACUAAUAGGUCUGGAAGGUCAUUCUGAAUGAGAAGUAAAUUAUUUUAUGUAAU
rnacentral:sRNA from 1 species